UACGUAGGGUCCAAGCGUUAUCCGGAAUCACUGGGCGUAAAGCGUGCGUAGGUGGUCUGUUAAGUCUGUCGUGAAAGCCCCGGGCUCAACCUGGGAAUGGCGAUGGAUACUGGCGGGCUAGAGUGCGGUAGAGGAGAGUGGAAUUCCCGGUGUAGCAGUGAAAUGCGUAGAGAUCGGGAGGAACAUCAGUUGCGAAGGCGGCUCUCUGGACCAGCACUGACACUGAGGCACGAAAGCGUGGGGAGCAAACAGG
rnacentral:rRNA from 1 species